AUUGAACGCUGGCGGCAUGCCUUACACAUGCAAGUCGAACGGUAACGCGGGGCAACCUGGCGACGAGUGGCGAACGGGUGAGUAAUGCAUCGGAACGUGCCCAGUAGUGGGGGAUAGCCCGGCGAAAGCCGGAUUAAUACCGCAUACGACCUACGGGUGAACGCGGGGGACCGUAAGACCUCGCGCUAUUGGAGCGGCCGAUGUCAGAUUAGGUUGUUGGUGGGGUAAAAGCCUACCAAGCCGACGAUCUGUAGCUGGUCUGAGAGGACGACCAGCCACACUGGGACUGAGACACGGCCCAGACUCCUACGGGAGGCAGCAGUGGGGAAUUUUGGACGAUGGGGGCAACCCUGAUCCAGCCAUGCCGCGUGCGGGAAGAAGGCCUUCGGGUUGUAAACCGCUUUUGUCAGGGAAGAAACGCUCUGGGCUAAUACCCCGGGGUAAUGACGGUACCUGAAGAAUAAGCAUCGGCUAACUCCGUGCCAGCCGCCGCAGUAACAC
rnacentral:rRNA from 1 species